rnacentral:lncRNA from 1 species
GACAGCGGCUCCUGCGUCGUCGGGGCUCCCCUGGGACGCGCUGGGAACCGGGAGGGAGCGCGCCCGGGAGGACCCGCCCCAAACGGCCCGGCCUCCACCUUGACCCUCCCAGUUCCGCGGUGCGGGCGGCGCCGGUCGGGACCGGGGUGCGGAAGGGGCGGCGGCGGCGACAGGUGGCCUCCCGGCCUCUGCACCCCCGGCCCCGCCCCCGGCUCUGCCCCCGCGGCCCCGGCUCUGCACCCCCGGCCCCGGCUCUGCCCCCGACUCUGCCCCCGCGGCCCCGCCUCUGCACCCCCGGCCCCGGCUCUGCACCCCCGGCCCCGGCUCUGCACCCCCGGCCUCGGCUCUGCACCCCCGGCCCCGGCUCUGCCCCCGUCUCUGCCCCGCGGCCCCGGCUCUGCCCCCCCGACCCCGGCCCCGCCCCCCCGGCCCCAGCUCUGCCCCCGCCUCUGCCCCCCCGGCCCCGGGUCUGCCCCCGCCUCUGCUCCCCCGGCCCCGCCUCUGCACCCCCGGCUCCGGCUCUGCACCCCCGGCCCCGGCUCUGCCCCCGCCUCUGCCCCCGCGGCCCCGGCUCUGCCUCCGGCUCUGCCCCCGCGGCCCCGGCUCUGCCCCCGGCUCUGCCCCCGCCUCUGCCCCGCGGCCCCGGCUCUGCCCCCCCCCCCCCCCCCGGCCCCGGCUCUGUCCCCCCGACCCCGGCUCUGCCCCCGCGGCCCCGACCCCGGCUCUGCCCCGGCUCUGCCCCGGCUCUGCCCCCGGCUCUGCCCCCCGGCCCCGGCUCUGCCCCUGCCUCUGCCCCGCGGCCCCGGCUCUGCCCCACCGGCCCCGGCUCUGCCCCGCGGCCCCGGCUCUGCCCCCGCCUCUGCCCCGGCUCUGCCCCCGCGGCCCCGGCUCUGCCCCCGGCUCUGCCCCCCGGCCCCGGCUCUGCCCCCGCCUCUGCCCCCCCCCCCCGGCCCCGGCUCUGCCCCCGCGGCCCCGCCUCUGCCCCCCGGCCCCGGCUCUGCCCCCGGCUCUGCCCCCCGACCCCGGCUCUGCCCCCCCGGCCCCGGCUCUGCCCCCGGCUCUGCCCCCCCGGCCCCGGCUCUCCCCGGUGCGCGCUCGGAGCCCGGGGCAGCCCGCAGGCGGCGCCGGUGUCGGGCUCGGGCUCGGGCUCGGGCUCGGGCUCGGGCUCGGGCGCCCGCCGGGCGGGGCCGCGGCAGGACCUCUCCCGACCUUUCUCGGGAGGAGCCCGCCGUCCCCGCCUCUAGCGUCCGCCCGGGGGCCGGGCAGGCGGGCGGGCGGGGCCCGGGCCGAGGCCGGGAGCCCGGAGCCGGGGCCGGGAGCGGCAGCCUUUGCUGCGCCGACUCUGUGGCCGGAAGCUCCGCUCGCCCCUGGGUAAGAGGCCCCCGGCGGCCGACGUCGGGCCCGCGGCCAGGGGAGGGGGCCGGGCGGGGGCCGAGCGGCCGGAGGCGACCUGUGCCCGACGUGCCCGCGCAGGUGGGACGGGGCGCGGCCCUGGCGCUUCACGCCCGCCUCGCUCCUCCGCCGCGGCGACACCCGCAGCCCUGCCGCGCGCGCCUGGAACUCGGGUCGGGGACUUCCUUCCCGGGGCGUCGGGUUUCGCGGGCGCGGAGGGGCCGAGCUCCGGGGGCAAGUUGA